UUCUGCAGAGGGUGAAUGAAGCUAGUAGGAGGCGUUCCUUCUGCGCCAUCUUGCCGGUGCUGACUCCUCCUCGUUCCUCGCUGACCAAUCAAUGGGCAAGGACGAGCAGCGUGACUGCUGACUCACAGCUUAGCGACGGCAGACGAGCUCUAGUUUCCUGGUUAGCUCAGGCUACGGCUAACUGGCUACUCGCGACAUGCUAACCGGGGAGCUAACGGCUAGCCGAGACAUGCUAACGGCGGAGCUAACCUUGCUGUGACCGGAUGGUCGCAAACUUUACCAUGAACGAGCAGGUACAAACCCAGCGCUGCAGCCCCUGAUGUCCUCAGCAUUUACUGUGGCAGCAACAACAUGCUGGAGAUCUGCAGCUUCAGGCUGGUCAACAUGAGGACGACCUGCACCAGCUUCAUGUGUUCCUCCCUUAAAUAAAGAUGGCCUGCACCUGU